rnacentral:rRNA from 1 species
UACGUAGGGGGCAAGCGUUGUCCGGAAUCAUUGGGCGUAAAGAGCGUGUAGGUGGCUCGGUAAGUCCGCUGUGAAAGUCCAGGGCUCAACCCUGGAAUGCCGGUGGAAACUGUCGAGCUAGAGUCCGGAAGAGGCGAGUGGAAUUCCUGGUGUAGCGGUGAAAUGCGCAGAUAUCAGGAGGAACACCAGUGGCGAAGGCGGUGGUCUGGGCCGGUACUGACGCUGUAGAGCGAAAGCUAGGGGAGCAAACAGG